AUGUCUGUAGCUCAAUGGUUAGAGCUGCCUGAAGUUGUUAAGGCUCAGGGUUCAAACCCCACACUGACAUG